rnacentral:rRNA from 1 species
UUCCGGUUGAUCCUGCCGGACCUGACUGCUAUCGGAUUGAUACUAAGCCAUGCUAGUCUUUGUAGUAAUACAAGGCAUACGGCUCAGUAACGCGUAGUCAACCUACCCUAUGGACGGGGAUAAUCUCGGGAAACUGAGCAUAAUACCCGGCAGACCACUUAUCCUGGAAUGGUUAGUGGUUAAAAUGAUUCGUCGCCAUAGGAUGGGACUGCGGCCUAUCAGCUUGUUGGUGAGGUAAUGGCCCACCAAGGCGAUUACAGGUACGGGCUCUGAGAGGAGAAGCCCGGAGAUGGGUACUGAGACAAGGACCCAGGCCCUAUGGGGCGCAGCAGGCGAGAAAACUUUGCAAUGUGCGAAAGCACGACAAGGUUAAUCCGAGUGAUUUCUGCUAAAGAAAUCUUUUGCAAGUCAUAAAACCACUAGUGAAUAAGGGGUGGGCAAGUUCUGGUGUCAGCCGCCGCGGUAAAACCAGCACCUCAAGUGGUCAGGAGGAUUAUUGGGCCUAAAGCAUCCGUAGCCGGCUCUGUAAGUUUUCGGUUAAAUCCAUGUGCUCAACGCAUGGGCUGCCGAAAAUACUGCAUAGCUAGGGAGUGGGAGAGGUAGACGGUACUCGGUAGGAAGGGGUAAAAUCCUUUGAUCUAUCGAUGACCACCUGUGGCGAAGGCGGUCUACCAGAACACGUUCGACGGUGAGGGAUGAAAGCUGGGGGAGCAAACCGGAUUAGAUACCCGGGUAGUCCCAGCUGUAAACGAUGCAGACUCGAUGAUGCAUUGGCAUAUAGCCAGUGCAGUGUCGCAGGGAAGCCGUUAAGUCUGCCGCCUGGGAAGUACGUACGCAAGUAUGAAACUUAAAGGAAUUGGCGGGGGAGCACCACAAGGGGUGAAGCCUGCGGUUCAAUUGGAGUCAACGCCGG